GAUGAACGCUGGCGGCGUGCCUAAUACAUGCAAGUCGAGCGAACAGAUAAGGAGCUUGCUCCUUUGACGUUAGCGGCGGACGGGUGAGUAACACGUGGGUAACCUACCUAUAAGACUGGGAUAACUUCGGGAAACCGGAGCUAAUACCGGAUAACAUUUGGAACCGCAUGGUUCUAAAGUGAAAGAUGGUUUUGCUAUCACUUAUAGAUGGACCCGCGCCGUAUUAGCUAGUUGGUAAGGUAACGGCUUACCAAGGCGACGAUACGUAGCCGACCUGAGAGGGUGUUCGGCCCCACUGGAACUGAGACACGGUCCAGCUUCCUACGGGAGGCAGCGGUAGGGAAUCUGCCGCAAUGGGAGAAAGCCUGACGGAGCAACGCGGCGUGAGUGAUGAAGGGUUUCGGCUCGUAAAACUCUGUUAUUAGGGAAGAACAAAUGUGUAAGUAACUGUGCACGUCUUGACGGUACCUAAUCAGAAAGCCACGGCUAACUACGUG
rnacentral:rRNA from 1 species